UUUAAUAGUGUAUAAAAAGUGAGAACAGGUGAUUUAGUGAAUUUUUGUCGGGGUAAUUGCCCAUACAAAACAACGAAAUUUAACAAAAUGGUUAAUAAUAAAGUC